rnacentral:lncRNA from 1 species
CUGCCACUGUCAGAGCUCACUGUCAACAGGCACAUUGCCCCUUGGAAGCUGGGCGGAGCAGAGGUCAACCAGCAAACUCUAGCCAGCCACGUGAGCUGCCCAACCCCAUCCCAGUCCAGUGGCUGACUCAGUCCUGCCCAUGAGAACUAAGCCAAAGUCCCACUACCAGGUGGGGCGCCGAGGGAAGCUGCCCCUUGACCCCUGGGCCCUUCUUCUUCUUCCUGCCCCUUCAGAGACCAGAGCCAGGGGCACCAGCCGCUGCCCUGUAGCCUUGUAAGGGUGAGGACAAGGCUGCACAGAUGCCUAUUAUCUACAGGAAUAGAAAGCGCCCACACCUAGGAUGGGACCACGGAGCCACAGUCUCACGUGCCCACCGUGACGUCGUCUUCGAGGGCAAGACCACAGCACCCCUCCUGGUUUAGACUUUGGUAUUCUGCUGUCUUCAGUGGAGUGAGCUUGUCCCAGG